CACGUAGGGGGCAAGCGUUGUCCGGAUUUAUUGGGCGUAAAGAGCUCGUAGGCGGCUCAGUAAGUCGGGUGUGAAACCUCCAGGCUCAACCUGGAGACGCCACCCGAUACUGCUGUGGCUUGAGUCCGGUAGGGGAGCGUGGAAUUCCUGGCGUAGCGGUGAAAUGCGCAGAUAUCAGGAGGAACACCAGCGGCGAAGGCGGCGCUCUGGGCCGGAACUGACGCUGAGGAGCGGAAGCGUGGGUAGCAAACAGG
rnacentral:rRNA from 1 species